CCAUCGGUGGUUCAGUGGUAGAAUUCUCACCUUCCGUGUGGGAGGCCUGGGUUCAAUUCCCAGCCAGUGCA
rnacentral:tRNA from 1 species